UACGUAGGGGGCUAGCGUUGUCCGGAAUCAUUGGGCGUAAAGAGCGCGUAGGCGGCUAGAUAAGUCCGGUGUGAAAGUCACAGGCUCAACCUGUGAAUGCCGCUGGAAACUGUCUGGCUAGAGUCCGGAAGGGGCGAGUGGAAUUCCUGGUGUAGCGGUGAAAUGCGUAGAUAUUGGGAGGAACACCAGUGGCGAAGGCGGCUCACUGGACCGGAACUGACGCUGAGGCGCGAAAGCGUGGGGAGCAAACAGG
rnacentral:rRNA from 1 species